rnacentral:rRNA from 1 species
AACGAACGCUGGCGGCAUGCCUAACACAUGCAAGUCGAACGAUCCCUUCGGGGAUAGUGGCGCACGGGUGCGUAACGCGUGGGAACCUGCCCUUAGGCUCGCAAUAACUCAGAGAAAUUUGAGCUAAUACCGGAUAAUGUCUUCGGACCAAAGAUUUAUCGCCUUUGGAUGGGCCCGCGUUGGAUUAGCUUGUUGGUGGGGUAAAGGCCUACCAAGGCGACGAUCCAUAGCUGGUCUGAGAGGAUGAUCAGCCACACUGGGACUGAGACACGGCCCAGACUCCUACGGGAGGCAGCAGUGGGGAAUAUUGGACAAUGGGCGGAAGCCUGAACCAGCAAUGCCGCGUGAGUGAUGAAGGCCUUAGGGUUGUAAAGCUCUUUUACCCGGGAUGAUAAUGACAGUACCGGGAGAAUAAGCCCCGGCUAACUCCGUG